AGGCUAUUAACUGUACACA
rnacentral:snRNA from 1 species